UUUCUAUACAUUUUUAUUUUUUAAACAGUUAUAUUCUUUUAGUUAACUUAAAUUUUUUACAUAUGCAGCUUUCCAUAUACGUAUCCUUUGUCUCCGUGUUGUCACGCUGACCCCCUGCAUGAUAACACGACUCUUUAAAGUCACGGUGUGCCUGUGGGUUGGUUAGAAGCAACAAAUGUAGAUCAAUGGUGGUGAGUUGGCUAAAAGGCAAAUGGGGUUGAGUGAGUGGGACCAACAGUUAAUGUGAGCAUGGUUUCUGGGUUCACACACUGACACUGCCUAUUUAAACUACAGUUGUGAUUUGAGCACUACUCAAUAGAAAUUAACAAAGAAUCAUGUAGGUGAAGUUGAAUUAACAAUCAUUUCAUAGUGUGAGUGCUUUGUGUAGUUUUUGUUUAAAAGUAAACUGUUGUUAAUGCCCCUUUUUCAUUGUUUUAGCAGGUUUUCCAUCUCCUGUCAUCCCCACUUCAAGAUAUUUAAUGCACCUGUCCAUAAAGUGAAAUGCAGUUAUCCAAUCUAUGAGCAAUACUGUAUCUGUCAUAAAGAAUAAAGAUGGAUAAUGUUAACUCCUGGAUUGGUAAGCACACCUUGACUCUUACUAAGACCAGUAGCAACAGGUAACUAACCAUUAGCACCAUUUAAAUUAAAAUGAGUAGAAAGUUAAGAUAAUUCCUAUAAUAUAGAUACAGUAAUGCUAGUAGUAUAACAAGGAGCUAAGUCAGCAGACAUGUUUCCAUAAAGGUUUUCCUUAACAUAUACAGCUUACACUGCAGCUGCACUACCCGAUGAUUCAACCUUCACGUUAAAUUCAUACCUACCUGGAACCCUGAAGCAUAAGCUUCGGUUGGAUUGGUGGAGCUCUGAAAUGACAACGUAGUGUAGAUUGUUAAAAUGUUGCCCUUCCCAUGUGGUCAGAUUAGUAAUGGCAGAAAGAUGUUAACUUUGUUGAAGGGGAGAAGCGACAUUGCAAUAUUGAGUACCAUUGUUGGUCCUCCGAUCUGCUACAAAAGCAUUAUGUUUGCUUCCAGAUUUCCAACAGGUUUUUUUCUUUGUAUGUUUUGUGGUU